UACUGGUGCCUAUGGAGGCCAGAGGUGUGGGAUUCCCCAGGGACUGACCACACAAUAUGGACACAAGGAACCAACUUCAGCUACUUUGCAAGAGCAGGAAGUGCUCUUAAUUGCUGAGCAUAUUUCUAACCCCUUAAAUUAUUUAUUUUGUGCAAAAUACAAAUUCUAGUUUGACAUUAAACAGAAACUGUUAUAAACUGAAAAGAACCAACUAACUUCUGUAUGGCAUGUAGCAGAUCAUGAAGAGAUGACCAUCAGCCCUGCCUGGAACCUUGAAGAUCAUGAGAGGGAUCAAGCUUCUUUUCAAAAAAUUGAGCCCAGCCCGACGGAAGUGCUGCCGCCUCCACUCUUCAGGUGUGGAAACAGGGCCACUGAGAGGUGAAGUUGCCUGCCCUAGGUCAUCCAGCGGCUGAACUGGGCUUGCCUCUUGUUGGGUUGUCUAGAAAGGGCUUUCUUCUUUGAGCCAAUCUGCUGAUGUAGGAACCUUAGGGAUUUAGAACAAGGAAUUAAACCUCACCUUGUCAACUCCUCAUCGGAUCCUGUUUCCACGAAUCCUCAG